AAAAUAAAGCAGAAGCUAUCCGCUUCUCACCUUACACGGCUUUUAGUGUUACUAAGGUUAUAUUACGGAAACGUACAUGCGGAUAGCCUUGUGCUAUCCGUUCUUUUUUUGUGGA
rfam:Megasphaera cerevisiae DSM 20462 scaffold_67, whole genome shotgun sequence.